rnacentral:rRNA from 1 species
CUACGGGUCGCAGCAGUGGGGAAUUUUGGACAAUGGGGGCAACCCUGAUCCAGCCAUGCCGCGUGAGUGAAGAAGGCCUUCGGGUUGUAAAGCUCUUUCGGCCGGGAAGAAAUCGCAUCCUCUAAUAUGGGGUGUGGAUGACGGUACCGGAAGAAGAAGCACCGGCUAACUACGUGCCAGCAGCCGCGGUAAUACGUAGGGUGCGAGCGUUAAUCGGAAUUACUGGGCGUAAAGCGUGCGCAGGCGGCGCCAUAAGACAGCUGUGAAAUCCCCGGGCUUAACCUGGGAACUGCGGUUGUGACUGUGGUGCUUGAGUGCGGCAGAGGGGGGUGGAAUUCCACGUGUAGCAGUGAAAUGCGUAGAGAUGUGGAGGAACACCGAUGGCGAAGGCAGCCCCCUGGGUUGACACUGACGCUCAUGCACGAAAGCGUGGGGAGCAAACAGGAUUAGAUACCCUAGUAGUC